rnacentral:rRNA from 1 species
AUGUUGUACUGCUGUUCUAUACAAGUUUCCAAUGUUAGUGUGCUUCUUCAGCUCUAUUCAGUUGUUCUACUUGCUGCUUGUAGCUGUUACCAGUUUACCUGCUGGCCGGGACUGGGUCCAAUCUGUUCUGGAGUGGGACAUGGCUGUGUUUUUCAGUUUGUGCCCCUGUUCUGGGGAAUUCCUCUCAUUUGUCGACUGUUGCCCUCAGUUUUCUUUAUGGAGUACAUCAUACUAAAUUGGAAUGUGCGCGGUCUCCACAACCCUGCUAAGCGAAGAGCUAUCCUCAUGUUCCUCGCUGAGCACCAAUGCAACAUCAUCUGUCUUCAGGAAGUAAAAAUGCAGACCAUCUCAGCAGCUUUCGUUGCCGAAACACUGGGGGCCCAUUUCUGUGACAACUUUAUUUACAAACCAGCUAAUGGCUCUAGAGGGGGAAUCCUGAUUGCCUGCUCCGCUGAUAUUGCAAUCACUCAUGACCCCCUUGCUGAUGGGCCUAACUCCAUUACUGGGCAGAUUAUGGACAGGAGCAACAAUGACAGAUGGACCAUCUCAGCUGUGUACGGACCCCAAGAUGAUGCGGCCAAGGUCCUUUUCAUUGAUGAACUCAAGGGACUCAAGCAGUUUGCUCUACCAUGCUGGAUGGUCCUUGGAGAUUUUAACCUGAUCAAGAAAGCCGAGGACAAAAAUAAUGGGAACAUAAACCUGCAGAUGAUGGGAAGGUUCAAGAGUGUUGUUGAUGAGCUAGAGCUAAUUGAUUACCCUCUCCUGGGCAGAAAAUUCACUUGGUCCAAUGAGCGUGACAUUGUCACCCUGACUAAGAUCGACAGGAUCUUGGUCUCCAAAGAUUGGGACCUUAAAUUCCCAAAUUACCAGCUCACCCCUGCAUCCUCUUCAAUCUCUGAUCAUUGCCCCCUGCUACUAAAGCCAAUGCAUCAGCGCCACUUCAAAGGGUUCCGAUUUGAAUCCUAUUAG